GGCCAGGGCCCCAGGCUGUGUUCAUACACUGACUGCACAGAAAGAGGAGGCAGAGUAAACCUACUCCACACACAUCCAGCUCAGCGCAGGCCCUUUGCCUGGUCUGUACUGUGAAUAGGGGAACGGAG